CCAAACUGUUGCCUCGGCGGGAUCUCUGCCCCGGGUGCGUCGCAGCCCCGGACCAAGGCGCCCGCCGGAGGACCAACCAAAACUCUUUUUGUAUACCCCCUCGCGGGUUUUUUAUAAUCUGAGCCUUCUCGGCGCCUCUCGUACGCGUUUCUAAAAUGAAUCAAAACUUUCAACAACGGAUCUCUUGGUUCUGGCAUCGAUGAAGAACGCAUCGAAAUGCGAUAAGUAAUGUGAAUUGCAAAAUUCAGUGAAUCAUCUAAUCUUUGAACGCACAUUGCGCCCGCCAGUAUUCUGGCGGGCAUGCCUGUCCGAGCGUCAUUUCAACCCUCGAACCCCUCCGGGGGGUCGGCGUUGGGGAUCGGCCCUGCCUUGGCGGUGGCCGUCUCCGAAAUACAGUGGCGGUCUCGCCGCAUCCUCUCCUGCGCAGUAGUUUGCACACUCGCAUCGGGAGCGCGGCGCGUCCACAGCCGUUAAACACCCAACUUCUGAAAUGUUGACCUCGGAUCAGGUAGGAAUACCCGCUGAACUUAAGAAUAUCAAUAAGCGGAGGAA
rnacentral:rRNA from 1 species